rnacentral:lncRNA from 1 species
ACACACAUACACACACGUGCGUGCGUGCGUGAAAUACUCAAAAGGCAUAAGGAGUGCCAAGCAAAAAGCAUUGAAAAAUAAAAGAGAGAAAACAAAGGGAAACCACCAAUACUAAAUCAGAGAACAUGAACAUCCAAGACUGGAACAACACCCUAUAUAAGGGGCAUAAACCACGAGGCACCGCCAAGCAGAAAACCGACUAGAGAUCCGACCGCCAGACCCUCUAUCAACAUACUACAAGAAUCACUAGUAACAUUGAAGACCACUGAUCCCUCUAGAGCAUGUUAGAACUCUUAGUCCACUAUUGGCUAAGACACAUGUUAAGGUUUUGAAGCCAUUCGAAGAGGGAGAAAGAGUUUGAUGUUGAUCUAUUAAGGAACUAACUCCAAGCCAAAAAAAU